AAGCCGUCGCAACCAACAAUGGCACCACCCAUCCAGCCAUCCUCCACGACAACAUCCCAAAGAACACAAGUCCCAGAACCACGGCUCAAUUCUCUCCUCUUCGACAACACCACCGCCAUCGCGACCACCAUCACCCCAUCAUCGCCAUCGAGGACGCAGCCAUCAUCCCUCUAAAAUUUAGGUGCUAUGCCCGCCUGCACCCCCUUGCGGUUAACUGCAGGAAGAAGAAGUGGGGACACAGCAACCAGCUGAUGCCAAAGAAGAAGAUCAAGUAGACUGGGAAUCGAGACAAUGGAGCGUCAAGUCUUUUCGGACAUUUAGCUGUCUGGAAAAGAGUGGCACCAUAUUCCAGCUGUGGAGCUAACGUCCCUUACAAGUUCAGCAUCUCUACCAACAGCAACAGGUAUAACUAGAUCGACUUAUUUUAGUGUUGUAGAGAAGUUCUAAAAUCAAAUUAUGACAUCUAGUACAAUAAUCAUGUGACAUAGAAAGAUUAAAACACAAUGAACCUUCAAAUACUUGUCUAAAUUGCAUUUUAUUACAUUAAAAAAAAAAAAAAAAAAAUUAAAGCCUCUUCACCGUAUGUGCUUGUACUUGGAUCGACUUAUUUUGCAUUCCCUCAACUUCUCUUGCAUCAUUUAUACCCAACUCUAAAAGGUGUUUACCAGCUAUAAGAUUAAUACUUAGGUCCAUAGUAUACAGACCUGAUACAUUCCUAAAAGUUUUUCUUCAGAUUUUUAAUCAGUUUCUUAGAUGUGGUUUCGGAUGUUAAUGCGGAAUUUAUUGCGGAUGUCAUGUUUAUGUUAUUUUGGAUUAUUUGAUUUUGGACUCCAUAAUUUGGAUGUCUUGGACUCUCAGAUGUUUUGUAUGUUGAUUUGAUCUUUAAAUGUCUCUCGGAUGUUAUUUUGAAUGUCUCGUAUUUAAUGUAUCGAACGAUGCUGGACGAUAUAACGUUGUUAAUCUAUAAACUUGAAUGUUGGACUUUGUA